UGAAGAGGUGCAGUGGGGCGAGCCACGACCUCGUCACAUGAGAGACACCAAGACCAGAGCACAGGAAGACACCCUACAGAUCCGCGUGGACGGGAACGAGCGCAGUGUGCAGCACGCCUCGGGGGGCCGAGGAGGAGGAGGAGGAGGGCCUUCCUCCUCACAGGGGGGUGUUGGUGCCGGGGGCGACGGCCCCUCGCGCCACCACCACCGGCCUGUCAGAGAACGAGGCAUGAAGAAAGACAAACAGGACGCUCCUCCGUUGGUGAACGGAGUGUCGUAGAUACACCACUGGAGGACAUGCAGUACUCACUUCAGCAAGCAGACACACACUCUGACACACACACACACACAUACACACGCACACACACAUACACGUUCACAAACACACACAGAUAGCUUGUCAUAAUCCAUGGUAGGGUCUGGCUCUCUCUCGCUCUUUCUUUCUCUGUCUUUCUCACACACACGCAUACACCCACAUUUCCAUCAGCGUGGAAGAGUUUACCGUCGUGACUUUGGAAGCCAGAGCUGGUCUGGUGUCUGCUGGACUUGUCUGUUCUUGACUGAUUUUUGGUAUCUACUGACCUGCUUUGGAGUGAACAAGAAAAAGAAGCAGUACAUUUUGGACCUAAGCUAAAACAAAAACAGAACGGAAAGGAAGAAGAGGGAUUUGACUGGAGCUGAGCUGGGCAUCAACCCCUGGACCCACCACCUCCCCGCAUCCACCGACUUGUUUUUCCCCCCCAGGACUAGUUUUGCAGUAAAUGGGUUCAAGCGAGUUCGCACUGAAUACGUUUUUUUUUUUUUUUUUAAUGAAACAGGACAGUUUUGAAUUUAACACCUCACUGCCCUGUUUGGACAUGCCAGCAUAAGAAAAAGCAAAUCAAAAAACAGUCAUGUAUUGAACGCUCAAACCCGCCCAUUAAAGAGCUCAGUGGUUCUCAAGACAAAACAGGAGUGACACUGAAUUCCCGCUGUAACAGGCAAAGAUUCCCACGAUCCCCCACCUUUUACUCGGCCAAGCUGAGAUUGUCGUUUUUUGGAGAUGAUCCGUCUCUGCAUCAUAUUUGAGAUGAGUUAAGCAAAAUUCCAUCUGGGAGAGGACAUCAGUAGAUAUUCCAGUAUUAAGUUUAACCCUGGCACCAGUUUGACAAUUGAGGAGUGCAUGCCUUUACUAUCAGCAGAACAGAGAGGAGUUCAACUGAGGUGUGCUCGUUUCUCAUUUCUAUUUUUGCUAAGCGGAGCCAUCUAAGGUUCUCAUCUAUUCUAGCUGUAGGCAUCCAUUUUUGUUUUUCAGGAUGAAUUGUAGUGGAAAGGUAUGUGUGUAUUUUGUUUGUUUUGUUCAGUGACGUUUUUGGGAGCUCUUGAAAUGAGCCAGCAUAUACUAAUCACAUCAGUGAGAUCAUGAAUAAUGUGUUUUUUCUUUGUUGCCUAGGUCAUUUAAAAGUCCCUUUUUUAUUCUCUUCUACUAUCAGACCAUGCAUCCAUUGGUACUUUGGGCUUGAAGCACUAGUUUGCAAGGCUGUUUACUUUUAAAUACUUUAAAAACUGCAUUCUUCUUCUUCUUUUUUUUUUUUUUUUUUUUUUUUUUUUUUUUUUUUG
rnacentral:lncRNA from 1 species